AGAGUUUGAUCCUGGCUCAGAUUGAACGCUGGCGGCAGGCCUAACACAUGCAAGUCGAGCGGAUGAGUGGAGCUUGCUCCAUGAUUCAGCGGCGGACGGGUGAGUAAUGCCUAGGAAUCUGCCUGGUAGUGGGGGACAACGUUUCGAAAGGAACGCUAAUACCGCAUACGUCCUACGGGAGAAAGUGGGGGAUCUUCGGACCUCACGCUAUCAGAUGAGCCUAGGUCGGAUUAGCUAGUUGGUGAGGUAAAGGCUCACCAAGGCGACGAUCCGUAACUGGUCUGAGAGGAUGAUCAGUCACACUGGAACUGAGACACGGUCCAGACUCCUACGGGAGGCAGCAGUGGGGAAUAUUGGACAAUGGGCGAAAGCCUGAUCCAGCCAUGCCGCGUGUGUG
rnacentral:rRNA from 1 species